AAAAUGAUAGAGGAUACACUAAUUUUUUUGUCAAAUCUUUAUAUUUCAAAAUCACUAAUUGUCAUAUAUACUUUAGCCACAUUAGACAAUUCUAUAAUUUUUAUUUAUGGAAAUAAUGAAGAACAUUAAUAAUUAAUUUAUGGUUUGUUUAAUUAAAAGCUUAUUAUAUAUUUAGAUGAACCAACAUAUUUUUAUAGAUAUUUUAAAAAUCAUUGUGAUGAUGGCACAUGGUUACCUCAAAUGUUGUAAUUGUAAUGUUUCUUUUUAAAUAUAUAGAGAAUUAUUACUUGACAUUUAUCUUACCUUUCUAUUAGUAUCAGACUAUCAUUUGAUUGUUUGGAUUUCUAUUUAUUAUCAUUAUCAAUCAUACACUGCGAUAGAAGAAGGAAAAAAGUACACUCAAGUGAGAUAGACUCAUGAAAACUAGUAGACUAGUGGUUUAAGUACAGAGUGGGUAAUUUUGUGCUGCUGGUUUGAAAUUUGGUGAACUUUUUUUAUAUGUUAUAUCUGCUGUUUGGUCGAUUCUGAGAAAAUCACAUUUAAUGCUAAAGAAUGGACAUAAAAAUGACAUAUAGACUCAAGAAGCCUAUUGUUCUGAUUGUGUCCAGAUGGCAUAAAAGUGGCAGACACGAUGAGUCUCUGCACUGCCCGCAGACAGAUGUUGUCUUUGCAUUCAACCCAAUAAGAGAGCGUCCAUGUAUGAAGGAAAAAGGACCAUUAGACUACCCAUUUUGUUAAAACUUGAAUCCAGUUUUUUUUUUUUUGUAAACUAACUUGAAUUCAAUUUUCUCUUAAAUUCACUUGCGAUCACAAACCUUAGUCUCCGAUUAAACUUGCACAAAGACUAUAACUAAUUAAGAAAAAAAAUAAAAAAAUAAUAUUAUUUGUUUACUCAAUGUUCAUCUCACUUCUCAAUCAAAAAAGCAUUUAUAAGUUACUCAAUCCAUUUCAAAAUAAUGAUGUUUUGAAGAGUUAUGAUAUUUUAAAAUACAUGAUUUUUUGAUAUUAGUUUUAAUUUUAUUAAAAACUAUAUGACCAAUAAUAUUUUAUAAUAUUUUUAUGAUUAGUUGAUUUAGUAUUACUUUAUAUUUUUAAUGUUACUUUUUUAAAAAAAAUGAAUCUCUUAAUUCUUGUGUCUUAAUCCAAAACAUCGACUAUUUUAGAACAUAGUGAGUAUAACACUGAGAUGGAUCUCCUCCAACAAUCCACUAGUUCUUUGGCGAUUUAGAACACCUGCAAUAAUAGGUUGUAGUAGAAGUUCUUAAAAUUAAAAAAAAAAAAGAUAAAAUCAUAAAUACAUGGGAGAGAAAGGGUAAAAACUGUCUUUUAAUAACCUGUGAUUUACUAAAAACACAUGUGUCAAUCUGUUAAUUUUUAACAUAUUCUGAAAAACUAAACAUAUAAUCAUGUAACUAAAAUAAUGAUUUUUUUUUCCUUUUAGAACCCUUUACAGUUUUUACUGAUAAUGGUGCUUUUACAAUCUUAAGCUUCCGAUUACACAAGCCUUUCUACAAAAAAAAAGCUUCCGAUUACACACAUUCUUCUCUCUCUCUCUAUCUCACUUUGCUGUAACAACUUUUGAGCAAGAAGAAGUGGUAAAGAUUACAACGGCUAGAUGAAUACUUACAAUCACAAGCCCAACUCACAUGCAUACAACAAUACGUGCCAAAGAGAGUUGGUUAGCUAGAAACAAUCCAUCUUAUUAAAACAUAAGUACACUUAGAGCAUCUCCAAUGUAUUACUCCAAAUUUUACUUCAAAAUGGUGUAACUUCAAAAUGAAGUUAAGUUUUACUCCAAUGUAUUACUCAAUUAUUUACUCCAAAGAAAAAAAAUAUUCAUUUUUCAUUUAGUUAAUAAUUGUUAGUAGUACCUUCAACUUAUAAAAAUUAACAAUUAACCCAACUAUUUUAUGUUUACAAAAUUUUCAUAAUAAUACAUUUUAUUUAAAUUAAAUAUUUAUCAUUAAAAAUACAACUAGAUAUUAUCUUUCAAUUUCAAUUCAUGCAGUUUUUAUCAUAUGCAAUUUUUCUAAUUCAAAAAUAUUUAUAUGCAUUAAAAGAACAUAAAGAAAAAACAAAGUUUUAUUUUGUAAUUUGAAUUAUAUAUUGGGUCCUAUUGUUUGUGCAUAUAUCAAGUUCAACAAGUACAAAUGUUAUCAAUCAAUAUUUUGACCAACAAGAAUAAAAAACUCAUCUAUUCCGUUUGAGUAAUACUUCACCGAUUUUGGUAGUUUCGAAAACAAUUUACCGAAUUAAUUAUUAAAUUACUUAUUCAUAUUAUAUUAUAUUUAUUACAUAUUAUUUAUUCUUUGUUUUGACUUUUAUGAGUUUAUGCAUAGUUUAUGUAAACUAUUAAAUAAUCUUUUGCGGAGUAUUAUAUUUUUUGCAUGUUAUUAUAUUAUUUUAAGUAUGAAAUAAAAACAUUAAAGAUUAAAAAGACCAUUUCAUAAAUAGAAAAAGUUCAACUACAAAAUAGAGUAAUUAUGCUGAAGUCUUGAAGUCAUUAAGUCAUAAAUGGAGUAACCCUAGUCAUUACUUCAUUUUGGAGUUGAAUAUGGAGUGAGAUUUGAGAAGAUUUUACUCCAUAAUUGAGUUUGGAGUGAAAAAUGAAGUAGGGUUGGAAAUACCGUUAAGAAUUACCCUUAAAUUUUAAGUUAUUUACAUUACAAUGCCACUGAAGCUUUAAAUAAUCAUUCCUUUAAAUAAUAUUGUUUUUUCUGAUUAAUUAAUGCAUAUUCCUAACUAGAACUUUUCCUACGAAAUCGGAAAUAAUGACUUAAUGACUUCAAGACUUCAGCAUAAUUUGUUUCCAUCAACUAAAUUACAGUGUCAAAAAUAUCACGCCAAUUGAAUGUUAUUCCCUUGUUCCUAAAAGAUCCAUAUUCUAGUUUUUCACACAUUUUAAUAAAACACAUUAAAUUUGCAUAAUUUUUUGUGUUUAUCUUUUUUCUAUAAUUUUAAGCCAAUAAAAAAUCAAUUAGUGCAAUUAAGUUUUUUGAAGUUUGCAAUUAGUUAAUAAAACAUGUAUUGAAAAUGUAAAAAAUAGAAUUUUUUGAAACAAAUUUUUUCUCUAGAAUAUGUAUCUUUAAGGAACGGAGGGAGUAUAAGGAGACUGUAACAAGAAGCUUUCAUUUUCACUUACUAUGAUCUGUUUUUAAUAACUAAACUACAGUGUCAUACAAAAAAUAUUACACCUUUCUUAAUAACUGUAACCUCAAGCUGUAGUUCUUCUCCUAUAGCUGAUGGACCUGUAUACAGAGCAAUGGACAACAAUUUUAGUUUUAAAUAAAAUUAAAAUCAUAACUUUAAGUCUUCAUUCAUAUCAUACUUAUGUUAAUAAUUAUUCCUCCAAAAGUCCUAUGUUCAGUCACGUUAUCAUUGGCAUCAUAUAGAUAUAUUAUUGUAACCCAUAACAGCAACAAGAUGCAUAUAUAUGUAUUUCUAAAUGUAUAAAAUUCCAAUCAAAUAUACCUAACAAUUUUCUAAUCUUUCUAAACAAACCAAAUCAAUAAAAUCAAAACAGUUAAUGCCUCAGGGUAUGACUCGUUUCUCUGCUAUUACUCGCAAAAGCUGCUUUUGCGUUUGGUAGCAGUUGUUGACGUUUUACCGGCACCAAAGUUAAGUAAUUCUUCUACUUCUACCUCUCUCUCUAACUAAAUUGUACACGUUAAAGAUUUUAUAGAAGAUUUCCCUUGAUAAAAAAAGAAAGAUUUCCAAUCCCACUUCUCUAGAGUGUCUUUUACGUCAACACUAAUCAUAUAUUCCAUCCGUAUCCGUUUCAUAUCAAGUGUCACUUUGACAUCUUUUUUUAAAAAACUAUGUAAUAGACUAAUAUAUCUUUAUUUAAUGUUUGAUUAAUUAAAUGAAUAUGAUUUAUAUAAAAAUUUAUUAGUUAUUCAAAAGGGUAAAAAAUAAAUUUAUUGUACAAAGUUACAUUAAAAUUGUAGAAUAACACUUAUUUUGAAAUAAUAAACAAACCUAAAAUGAUACUUAUUAUAAAACAAAUGGAGUAAAAAUUAGGAACCAUGAAAGUUUUGAAAAACUUUUGAUAGUUUUUGAAAUUUAAUAAAUUUUAGAUAGUUAAGAUAAUUUUAUCACUUUAAGAACAUAGGGCAGAUUUGUAUAUCAGUAUUUUGAUUUCAUUUUACAAGUUUUAGUCUGUUUAUGUUUAAUAUUCUAGUUAUUUUAAUACUAAUUUUUUUUUUUAAAUUGAAAAAUAUUUCAAUUUGUUUUACCAGUUACUAAAAUUUAUGUUGAUUUUUUUUUCUGAAAUAAUUUUUUUUUAUUUCCAAAUAAUACAAAAUAUGUUAUUGUUAUUUAUAAUUUAUUAAUAUUUACAAUUUUUUUAAUACGUUUUAAUUUAUGAUACAUAUAUCUGGAUAUGAUUUUUUUAGAGCGAAAAAUAUUUAUUUGAAUAUGUCAAUCUUUGUGAAUAUCUGUAUGCUAAUUGAAUAUGUUUAGUAAUAACCAAAUUAAUAUUAUUAAUUUAUAAAAAUAAGAAAUAAAUUAAUAUAUUAGACUAAGUAAAAUUAAAUUUAAAAUAUUAAA